rnacentral:rRNA from 1 species
AUGCAUGUUUUACGGAAACACAUUCCACAGGGCCAGACACCUCUUCCCUCCCGUCCCGACUCUCCCUUCGCCCCGCACAGUUCUGGCCCUAAACCAACCCCUGAACCCUCCCAAUUCCCAAAUCUAGUCGCCGAGGGAAGCUCGCCGCAUCCCUCCCCGGAGACCCCAAUGGAGGAAGGCAACGGGGCGCAGCCGCCGCCCUUGCCUCCGCCCGACGCGCCCGAAGCCGAGGGGCAUCUAGCUCUCGUCCCCAUGGACCAGGACGCCGCCGCGGAGCCCAUGGAGGACGGCGCGGCCGGGGGAGACGCCGCGGAGCCCAUGGAGGAGGACGCGCCCACGUCCUCCCCGACCCCGUCCGCCCCCUCCGCCACCGCGGCCGUCGACGACUCCACCGUCGCGCGGAAGCGCCGCCGCCGCAAGAAGCAGUUCCCCGGCAUGAUCCCCACGGCCGGCGUCCGCGUCCUCCGCGCAUCCUCCUCGUCGGGGGCCACCGCGGCGCACCUCGCCGGCAUCCCGCGCCGCCGCGGCCGCCCGCCGACCAACUCCUCCCUCCGCCUGGCGCGGGAGCUGGAUUCCGAGGCCACCAUCGCGCUCGCCGCGGGGUUCCCCGCGGAUACCCUCUCCGAGGACGAGGUCGCCGCCGCCGUCAUCCCGCUCAUAGGUGGCGCCGACCAGGCCAACUACCUCGUCGUGCGCAACCAUAUUCUCGCGCUGUGGCGCUCUAAUCCCCUCUCCCCCGUCGCGGCCAACGCCGCGCUCGCAUCCAUCCGCGCCGAGCAUGCGCCCCUCGUCGCCGCCGCACACUCCUUCCUAUCGGACCAUGCCUACAUCAAUUUCGGCCUCGCCCCCUCCAUUGUCUCCCUACCACCAAUCCCCCCUCCCUCCCAUCCUCCCCCUUCUGUCCUCAUCGUGGGUGCUGGCUUUGCUGGCCUCGCCGCCGCACGCCACCUUAUGUCCCUUGGCUUCAAGGUUGCCAUCGUCGAAGGCCGACUCCGCCCAGGUGGCCGUGUGUUUACUAAGACAAUGCGGUCCUCUGCAGCAGACUAUCCUGACAUUGCUGCUUCUGCUGAUCUGGGAGGCAGUGUGCUCACUGGUAUUAAUGGGAACCCCCUUGGUGUCAUAGCACGGCAGCUUGGGUUCCCACUUCACAAGGUGCGGGACAAGUGCCCGCUGUAUCUUCCGGAUGGCCGCCCAGUUGACCCUGACAUGGAUGGUCGUGUUGAAGCUGCCUUUAACCAGCUUCUUGACAAGGUUUGCCAGCUGAGGCAGGUUAUCGCAGAUAGUGUCCCACACGGUGUGGAUGUGUCACUUGGCAUGGCACUCGAGGCAUUCCGGGCAGCGCAUGGUGUUGCCGCUGAGCCAGAGGAACGGAUGCUUCUUGAUUGGCAUCUGGCCAACCUGGAGUAUGCCAAUGCCGCUCCUCUUGCUGAUCUCUCCAUGGCCUUCUGGGACCAGGAUGAUCCAUACGAAAUGGGUGGCGACCACUGCUUUAUACCUGGUGGCAAUUCCCAAUUUGUCCGAGCACUUGCUGAUGGCGUCCCGAUAUUCUAUGGACAGAAUGUGCGAAGGAUACAGUAUGGGUGUGAUGGUGUGUUGGUCUACACUGAUAAGCAGACAUUCCGUGGUGAUAUGGCGCUCUGCACUGUUCCCCUUGGUGUGCUUAAGAAGGGGGACAUUGAUUUUGUGCCGGAGCUGCCAGUUCAGAAACGAGAGGCCAUUCAGAGAUUGGGUUUUGGGCUUCUUAAUAAGGUUGUGAUGUUAUUCCCUUUUGACUUCUGGGAUGGUAGGAUUGAUACAUUUGGGCAUUUGACUGAGGACUCUAGUCAACGAGGUGAAUUCUUCCUGUUCUAUAGCUAUUCUUCAGUCUCAGGAGGUCCACUGCUCGUUGCCCUUGUUGCUGGGGAAUCUGCUAUCAGUUUUGAGAAGAAGUCACCAAUGGAAAAUGUCGAGAGGGUGUUAGACACACUUAAAAAUAUAUUUUCACCCAUGGGGAUCGAGGUACCAAACCCACUGCAGGCAAUAUGUACUCGAUGGGGCACUGACAAGUUUUCAUAUGGAUCAUAUUCCCAUGUGGCUAUUGGGUCUUCCGGUGAUGAUUAUGAUAUUUUGGCUGAGAGUGUUGGUGAUAGAAUCUUCUUCGCCGGGGAGGCAACAAAUAGGCGGUACCCUGCAACGAUGCAUGGAGCUCUGCUUAGUGGGUACAGAGAGGCUGCCAAUAUUGUAAGAGCCGCUAGAAAGAGAGCAAAAAAGGUUGACUUAUCUGAGAAAACAGUUGUCAGUUAUGAAGUCAAAGAUAUUGUUAAAGAUGAUAACAUUGAUUUGGAUGAUCUCUUCCGUACCCCUGAUGUUGCUUUCGGUGGCUUCUCAGUUCUGCAUGACCCAUCUAUAUCUGAACCUGAUUCAGCAUCAUUGCUGCGUGUUGGAAUUGGUGCCAGAAAGUUAGGCUCUGGUUCACUUUUCCUGUACGGCCUAAUAAUGCGGGAGAAUGUAACUGAGCUAGCUGCAAUGGAAGGCGACGAGCAGCGGUUGAGUACACUGUACCGAGAUUUUGGGACAAAACUGGUGGGAUUGGAUGGCUUGGGUGAUGCUGGGGAAAGCCUUAUAUCACGGAUAAAGGCUUCUUCUAAGAAGUAG